GACGAACCGUGCGAACGUUGUUCGGAAUCACUGGGCUUAAAGGGUGCGUAGGCGGGUUCCCAAGUCCGGGGUGAAAUCUUUCGGCUUAACCGGAAAAUAGCCUCGGAUACUGGGAGUCUUGAGGGAGGUAGGGGCAGCUGGAACUUCCGGUGGAGCGGUGAAAUGCGUUGAUAUCGGAAGGAACGCCGGUGGCGAAAGCGAGCUGCUGGACCUCUUCUGACGCUGAGGCACGAAAGCCAGGGGAGCAAACGGG
rnacentral:rRNA from 1 species